rnacentral:rRNA from 1 species
AUUGAACGCUGGCGGCAGGCCUAACACAUGCAAGUCGAGCGGAUGAAGGGAGCUUGCUCCUGGACUCAGCGGCGGACGGGUGAGUAAUGCAUAGGAAUCUGCCUGGUAGUGGGGGAUAACGUCCGGAAACGGGCGCUAAUACCGCAUACGUCCUGAGGGAGAAAGUGGGGGAUCUUCGGACCUCACGCUAUCAGAUGAGCCUAGGUCGGAUUAGCUAGUUGGUGGGGUAAAGGCCUACCAAGGCGACGAUCCGUAACUGGUCUGAGAGGAUGAUCAGUCACACUGGAACUGAGACACGGUCCAGACUCCUACGGGAGGCAGCAGUGGGGAAUAUUGGACAAUGGGCGAAAGCCUGAUCCAGCCAUGCCGCGUGUGUGAAGAAGGUCUUCGGAUUGUAAAGCACUUUAAGUUGGGAGGAAGGGCAGUAAGUUAAUACAUUGCUGUUUUGACGUUACCAACAGAAUAAGCACCGGCUAACUUCGUG